CCUCCGUGCGGGCGCGGGCUCGGCGGCGGCGCGCAGGGCCCAGCAUGGCGAGCGCGGGCCGCAGCGGCCCGGGACCUCGGCCCGGCGGGACCGCGGGGGGCGCGGCGGGAGCCCCGGGGCCGCCCUCCGGCCGAAGCGGCGGCGGGGGUGCCCGGGCGGCGGAGCGGCCCCCGGCGGCUGUGGAGAAGAGGGGGCCGUACACGGUGACGCGCGCGCCUUCCCUUCCGGCCAGGCUGCAGAAGCCCCGGGACCUGGCCAAGGCGGUUCUGCGGACGAAAGCCGUGCUGGGGCCGCCGCCGCACCGCCCCGACUCCUCCGCGAAAAGGUCGGUGAAGUUCAACAAGGGCUACACGGCCCUUAGUCAGAGUCCAGAUGAAAACCUGGUGUCCCUCGACUCUGACAGUGAUGGGGAGCUGGAAUCCAGAUACUCCUCCGGGUAUUCCUCUGCAGAGGCAAGUCCAGAGCGCCUUUCUGCACGGGGCCAGGCUGCAGGCAGCGUCACCGCCACUGCUAAAUGCUUGUCUUGUGCCUGCUGUAUACACGGCACUAUGCCAGACUUCCGGUCUGUUCUCCAAUCUUCUACUCUGCCCUACUCCCCCAACAGAGGUAUAGGUGUCUGAGGAAAGCUGUUGAAAAUCCAGAAGACCAUAGACCCUUAGGGCUGUAAGGACCUCACAAGUCUUCUAGCCCAGGACCCUGGGAUUAUGCCCUGAACCAAAGACAGAUGCUCAACCACUGAGCCACCCAGGUGCCCCUGCUUGGGGCCUUUCCCUGCUGGGUGAGGCACAGGCACUUCCUCUUGUAGUCCAGUGAUGCAUGGAGUUGGCCUGAGGGUGGAGCAUGGAGAGGAAGCUCUGGUAAGCGAAGCAAGUGAACCAGGAUGUGAGCCGGCAGCUGCUUCAAGAUGGGUAUCACCUGGAUGAGAUUCCAGAUGAUGAGGACUUGGACCUCAUUCCUCCCAAGCCUAUGGCCUCUUCAACGUGCUCCUGCUGCUGGUGCUGUCCUGGGGACUCUUCCUCCUGUACUCUCCAGUAGACAUAACCCCCUAAGGUGGGCUCUGCUCACCAUGCCUGCAGAGCCCUGUGGACCCUUCUUAGUUCACAGAGUGCAGUGGGGACGGCCAUCAGCCCCAGAAUCACUGGAGGCACUGAUCCUCUGGGAAGAAAGUCAAUGACCUGCAGUUACGCCUUACCUGGUGCUUCUCAGCCAGAGGCCCCCAUCUGGGCCAUACGGUAAUAGGCGGGACUCUGCAGUUUUCCUCUGGUAUUAGAGCAGAGUUUGGAGAAACCACUUUAAUAAGGGCAGGCACACAGCAAUUCUGGUUCUGGUGGUGACAAGUUGGCUAAGGAAAACUUGCACAUAUCUUGACCUGUAUUUGUUCCCCUCUGUGGAGGGAGAAAGCUUUCGUGGCCAGGCUAUGCUGGACGGUGUUGUAUGGAAGCAGAAAAUAGCACUUUACGGCUUCUAGCUGGGGGUCUUUGAAAAAGAACUGAACUAUUUGGGACCAGCUUAAGAAAUUCCAUAUGCUCCCUCUUCCUGGCUCCACGAGGGGACACUCAAGAAAGCAUAAAGCAGGGCCCCUUGGCCUUCGUCCCCUUGCACCUGUUUGCCCAUGGCAGGGAGUAUGGCAGUUUGCUUGAUCACACAGCAGGAUCAGGGCUUCUAGUAAUCCCUCCACCCAGUGGAGAAAAAUUGCUCCACUAUGCACAUAUUUUAUUUAUUUAUCUUUCCUUGGUUACCAUUCUUUGCCUUGGUCUUAGGUUAUUCAACACCCAGCCUUUGAGUGUAAAGGUUGGGUGAAGGGACUGGAGCUCACCCCGAAGCCUGCAGGUUUGGGUCACCAGCAGAGGGAGCUGCAGGAAGCAGUUAGGUGCCUUCCUAUUUAGCUUUUGGAUCUUAACUAGCAAGGAGUGAGAAUUGUACUGGCUCUGCUGUGUGGGCUUUGAUGUGGACAGAGACUCACAGGCAGGAUGGGCCCCGUGCCAGCUCCCAGGGCCCCUCCCUAAGGAGAUAACCUGCCAUUGCGGAGGGUGUCCCUUCACUCCAGCAUGGGCCUCCCAAGUAAGCCUCUGGGGCAACCCAGCUCCGCCCUCAGUGUGAACAUGGCUGAGACCAGCAUAAUCUCCCCAGUGGCCAUGCCCCACCCCAGAUGGUAUCUCUCGCUAUACCAGUCCUCUCUAGAAUUGGUUUCUUUUUUUGGGGGGAGGGGGGAUCUCACCCAGAGCCAUGCUGAGGACUGUGAGAGCGGACAUGGUUCCCAGCCAAAGGGGCAUGAGGAUUGGGGGGUGGGCCCUACAUGGGAAGUGCCUGGUCUGGUGCUUUAUUUGAUGUCCCAUGGCCUCCAGAGGUGUGAAGGAUGACGUGAACUCUUGCUCUGCCACAUGAGGUGACUGGAAGGCUGAGGUGGUCAGUUAAAAAGCCCUUGUCAGAUAACUAGGAUGAUCUAUCUGCACUUGACAGGCAUCUAUCUUGGUGCUUCUGUCAAAUGCUAGGAAGUUAAGGAUGUAUGGUAUCCAGGGGCUGUGGUUGACUUCUGAUCCAGUAGCAUCACAGCAGGAGGUAGAUGGGACCGAGGCCACAGACACGGCAGGUCAGGGUCUGGGGACUAGGAGACCUAGAUGGUUUCAGGGGUGGGACUGCAGCGCCACAUGGGUGCUUCACAUGCGGAACACUUUUUGUGCAGGCCUUUCUGGUUUCUGCAUAGGUACAGAAGUACAUAGAGGGCACCACCCAGGGCAGUGUGAAGAGACUGGGGUGGUAGCAGGAAGCCCAGUGUGGUGGGGCUACAUCUGUGGGGGGGGGGGGGGAGUGGUUAGGACAACGACCUGAGCACUUAGGUGGGUGAAGGUGGCAGCAGGACCCCAAGACCAAGGCCCUCCAGAUGGUUUUACUCUAAGUCCACGCUAUCUAUUUGCCUGAGUCUGUUCCUGGAGAGGAUGUUCUAGAAGUGGUUGGUUCUGUGCGGAAGUCAUUACCUUUGUGGAGAAAGUUGGAGGCACCUGGCAGCUAGGCGGGGUAGAAAUGGUCUGUUUGGGGCCGGAGGUUCCAGGCUAAAUAAAAUGUCACCAAUAAAGGCACCAAGGUGCCUAGAGCCAAACUGCCUUAAUUCAGAGCGCCAGGUAUCCUGCAGGUGCCUGUCCUGGGGAGACCGGGGUGUAUUCGCAGUUAACCUCCGAGAGAAGCAGGUGUGUGGUGUUUACAGAGGACGCUACGGAACUCUUGGCCUAGGCUUCCACAACUCUGAAAGUUUGUACGAAUAAAUACAGUCAUGCUA